rnacentral:lncRNA from 1 species
UUAAGUAAAAGCAUAUUAAACUAAUGUUAAAAAAUGUUUGUAGAAAUUGUGUGCAGACAAGUAGAGAUGUCAAUGGGUCGGAUUCGGGGCGGAUUUUCAAAAACCCGAAUCCGAACCUGACUCUAAACUUGAGACCCAAACCCGAACCCGAACCCGAACCCGAGACCCAAACCCGUACCCGAAUCCGACGGAAUUUAAAAAUCUAUAUCCAAACCCGAACCCGACCAAAAAUUCGAAACCCGAACGCGAACCCGAAAAUUUGAGCCCGAAACAAUUAUUUCUUUUUUCGAUAUUUCAAAAUAUAUUAUAUUAAAUCUAAAUUUUUAAAAUAUAAAUUCAAAUAUAACAUCAAAUUUUUAUAUAUAUGUUAUAUAUAAUGCAAAAUAAAUUCAGAUUCGGGUCAGGUUCGGUUCGGAUCGGAUAUAGUCAAAAUUCAUAUCUAAAUUCAUAUCCGUCGGGUUUCUAUUUUUGAUAUCCAUAUCCGAAUCCAUAUCUCUUUAGCAUCGAAUAUAUCCAUUCCAUUCGAAUUCGAAUUCGGAUAAAAUUUCAAAUAUCCAUACCAUUAACAUUCUACAGACAAGGCGGUGGACAAUUUG